rnacentral:rRNA from 1 species
GAUGAGUAGGGCGGGACACGUGGUAUCCUGUCUGAAUAUGGGGGGACCAUCCUCCAAGGCUAAAUACUCCUGACUGACCGAUAGUGAACCAGUACCGUGAGGGAAAGGCGAAAAGAACCCCGGCGAGGGGAGUGAAAAAGAACCUGAAACCGUGUACGUACAAGCAGUGGGAGCACAGGUUUACCUGUGUGACUGCGUACCUUUUGUAUAAUGGGUCAGCGACUUAUAUUCUGUAGCAAGGUUAACCGUAUAGGGGAGCCGAAGGGAAACCGAGUCUUAACCGGGCGUUAAGUUGCAGGGUAUAGACCCGAAACCCGGUGAUCUAGCCAUGGGCAGGUUGAAGGUUGGGUAACACUAACUGGAGGACCGAACCGACUAAUGUUGAAAAAUUAGCGGAUGACCUGUGGCUGGGGGUGAAAGGCCAAUCAAACCGGGAGA